rnacentral:rRNA from 1 species
UGGGGAAUUUUGGACAAUGGGGGCAACCCUGAUCCAGCCAUGCCGCGUGAGUGAAGAAGGCCUUCGGGUUGUAAAGCUCUUUCGCGAGGGAAGAAAAGGCCACGGAUAAUACCUGUGGUUCAUGACGGUACCUUGAUAAGAAGCACCGGCUAACUACGUGCCAGCAGCCGCGGUAAUACGUAGGGUGCGAGCGUUAAUCGGAAUUACUGGGCGUAAAGCGUGCGCAGGCGGUUUGACAAGCCAGAUGUGAAAUCCCCGGGCUUAACCUGGGAACUGCGUUUGGAACUGUCAGGCUAGAGUAUGGGAGAGGGAGGUAGAAUUCCACGUGUAGCAGUGAAAUGCGUAGAGAUGUGGAGGAAUACCGAUGGCGAAGGCAGCCUCCUGGCCUAAUACUGACGCU